rnacentral:rRNA from 1 species
CGAUCAUCGGUCUCUCGAACGCAAAUGGCGGCUAAGGGCUUGCUCUUAGCCACGUUCGAUCGAGUGUCGGCU